rnacentral:rRNA from 1 species
UGGGGAAUAUUGUACAAUGGGGGAAACCCUGAUGCAGCGACGCCGCGUGGAGGAUGACGGCCUUCGGGUUGUAAACUCCUUUUGUCAGGGACAAUGGUGAUGGUACCUGACGAAUAAGCCACGGCUAACUCUGUGCCAGCAGCCGCGGUAAGACAGAGGUGGCGAGCGUUGUUCGGGAUUACUGGGCUUAAAGGGCGCGUAGGCGGUGGUGUAAGUCUGGGGUGGAAUGCUACAGCUCAACUGUAGAGCUGCCUUGGAAACUGCAUUACUUGAGUCGGUGAGGGGAAGGCGGAAUUCCGGGUGUAGCGGUGAAAUGCGUAGAUAUCAGGAGGAAGGUCUGUGGCGAAGGCGGCCUUCUGGCACUUGACUGACGCUGAGGCGCGAAAGCGUGGGGAGCAAACAG